UACAGAGGUCUCAAGCGUUGUUCGGAUUCAUUGGGCGUAAAGGGCGCGUAGGCGGUGCGGUAAGUCACCUGUGAAAUCUCCUGGCUCAACUGGGAGCUUGCAGGCGAAACUGCCGUGCUGGAGUGUGGGAGAGGUGCGUGGAAUUCCUGGUGUAGCGGUGAAAUGCGUAGAUAUCAGGAGGAACACCUGUGGCGAAAGCGGCGCACUGGACCACAACUGACGCUGAGGCGCGAAAGCUAGGGGAGCAAACAGG
rnacentral:rRNA from 1 species